CGCUGAGGUGCGGGGCCGCCGCCGAUCCUCGCCGUUAUGGCCGCGGUGACGAGGGGCACGGCCACGCGCCGCAGCCGGCUGAAGCGCUCGGACGGCAGCACCACCUCCACCAGCUUCAUCCUGCGGCAGCACCUGAUACCUGAAGAUCGAGCUCAGUGCGUGUUUGCUCUGCCUGGAACACGGGAGUGGAGGCUGCUUUGUUUGUGCUGCAGAGCCUAGCUGAAACCACACAGCGCUCCUCUUGCAAAGAGGCUCUUGAAAUACUUGGAUUUGCCCCAGCUUUGCUUAAUGAAUGACACAGGUGAAGCAUAAAGCUGUUUUCCCAUGGUGCAUGUAGUCGGCGGUGCCACUUCCUUGCUCCAUAUCCACAUAGAGCCCUUGCUCAAGGGGCUUAUGAGUGCACUGCCUGUAUGGCAAAGUACCUGUGAGGAUAAUGCCGGCACCCGAGGGCACCCUGAGGCUGUUUGCUGUUUGUGGUUGGCAAACCAUGCCCAUGGCUCUUGCUACAAUAAAAGCUUUUCUGGAAAUGGCUCUUCUCAGUUUCUGAAAAUGGAGGCAUCACUGCGUUACGGACGUGAGCAGGACGAAGAAUUCCUGGGAGCUGAUGGCUGUUAAUGCUCCGGGGGAGAGCAAAAAUCAGUGUAGGCAGAAGGAACGUUUUC
rnacentral:lncRNA from 1 species